rnacentral:lncRNA from 10 species
AUAAAAUGAAGAAACAGAACCACAAAAAUAAGUUAGAGGCAAGGAAAGGGUUUCAGAGGGUAUAGAGUCCGCUUUGAAGAAACUUGGCUGUGAAUAAAAGGAAAGAAAUAAGAAAAUGGUUAGGGGUAGCAUGAUUUAUGAAAAGUUUGUUUGUUUUUUGGCUUUUUUCCCCUUUAAUAUGGCAAAGACUUAAGUAUCUCAUUAAAUUCCAGGGAAGAAGCCAGUUGAGAUUUUUUAAAAAAUCUUGAAACACAAACUUGGACAUUGGAGCCUUAGCUUUCAGAAUCCUCCCUGAAAGAAGAAAAAUACAUGUUUUUCUCCCCCACUAUAUUGUCACUUCCUCGAGGAAGGACAAGGGCUCAUGUAUUCUGUUUAUCUGCAUGCCUGGAGCCUAACCCAAUUCUUGGAAAAACUCAUGAAUCUCUGUCCAUUUCAAUGACGAAACUUCAGACCAUUCCCACUGCAGUCCCUUCUUUGUUCUACACAAGCAUCUCCAGGCAGCCUCAGGUGAUUGGAAGGCACUAAUCCUUCUGCCCUACCACCCAUCUGACCCCCUAAAUCCAGAGGACAUGGGUCUAGAUCUCCCAAGAAUACUCUUUCCCCACUCUCUGCUCAAGUAGAAGCACAGAACAAGUCUACACAUUUCUGCAGCUCAGCAGCAGCUGACUGGGGACUGAGAUGUUGGUCUCCACUCCUGGCAAGUAACUGAGUGUCUUGAGUGUGCACCAUGAAGCCUCCCCUUGCUUGACCCAAGAGGUGGAGAGAAACUUCUGCUUUAAAUGUUCAUAUGCCCACAUAUGACGCUCUUCGAAAAAAAAAAAUCCUAACUCACUCUAAAGAGUCUCUAGCCUUUUUAUGGAUUUUUCUUUCUUCAGACAUGGACUAAAGUUGGGAGGUGGGCUACGGGCACAAGACUUAUUUUACCGUAAAUGCAUGGUAUGUUAGUCCUUCAUGAAUGUCUAGCAUCUUCUUUUGGAAUACGGGCAUACAUGGCAUUCUAGGCUUUGAGCCUCAGACACAACUCCAAAUUUAUGAAAAACCUC